GGUAGCCUAUCCACUAGUUCGUCUGACUUUGGGUAAGUAGAAAAAAUGGCUUAACUGCCAAAAUGUCGCACAGUCAGCAUACACAUAGACCUAGGAUCUAACUUCAACAUAUAGGAGUCUCAAACACUCUAUGACAUAGGUCCUAAACCUAUGGAAUAGCACACAUACAAAAUCUCAAUGUUCCAAAAAUAUACUAAAUGUAUUAUUUAAAAAAACAUGUUGUUUUCUCGAUUAUGUAUGCUAUAUCAGAUUGUAGGUUAUAAAAUAAUGUUAGGCUAAGUUUUACCUGGCUUUAAGUGCGCAUUCUCAAUUAAGCUUAAGUGGAAAUUCAAAUUCCGAUGUAUUUGAAACUUAAAAGACAGCGAUAAGUAAAAGUCUAAAGAUGUAGAUGACUGAACCGAUUUCCAAAGAUGAACGGAUAAAAGUCUGAAGAUAAAAGUCCUUCUCUUCUCAUGGUGUUACCUGACGCGGUUGACAGCUCUAUAUCGAGCGGGCACGACUGCGACUCCUCAUCGUUAAGUAAUUACAUUCUCUACGGGAUGUCAGAUGGGGCGAGCCCUGCACCCGCACAGCCUUGUGCCCUACCUGCAUACAGUUAUCAGGAUUUCCCCGCGCUUGCACUGCAACGGCCUUUAUGGGUACACACUGGCACACACACCCGCACGCAGACACACACACACACACACACACACACACACACACACACACACACACACACACACACACACACACACACACACACACACACACACACACACUGGCAUGGACACAGAGACAGACUUAAUUAAGAUUUAGAAUAACUCAAUCUUAGUAAAAGGAAACCUAAUUUUCGAUUGAGUGGAGAGCCAUAUUUUUACUUCACUAACCAGAUCACUAUUUAUUCUCUCUCUCUCCCUCUCUCUCUCUCUCUCUCUCUCUCUCUCUCUCUCUCUCCACUCAACCCCCUCUUUAGUAGAAGAGGCUCUCCAAUCCAGUCAGUCUUGGCCGCUGCUUCAGACUGGAUGAA
rnacentral:lncRNA from 8 species